GUUGAAACGCCGGUUCCUGUAAGAUCACCGAAGUUAAACAACAUCGAGCUUGGUCAGUAACUAGAUGGGUGACCGCUUAGGAAUACCAGGUACUGUAA
rnacentral:rRNA from 1 species